GUGGCUCACACCUGUAAUCCAGCACUUUGGGAAGCCAAGUCGGGUAGAUCAUUUGAGGUCAGGAGUUUGAGACCAGCUUGGCCAACAUGGUGAGACCCUGUCUCUACAAAAAAAUACAAAAAUUAGCCCCUUUUCACAACAUGGCGCCAAAAGCUAAGAAGGAAGCUUCUGCCCCUCCUAAAGCCAAAGCGAAGGGUCUGAAGGCCAAGAAGGCAGUGUUGAAAGGUGUUUACAGCCACAAAAAAAAAUCUGCACAUCACCAGCCUUCCAGUGGCCCAAGACACUGCGACUCUGGAGGCAGUGCAAACAUCCUCAGAAGAGCACCCCCAGGAGAAACAAGCUUGACCACUAUGCUAUUUAUCAAGUUUCCUCUAACCACUGAGUGUCCCAUGAAGAAGACAGAAGACAACACACUUGUGUUCAUGGUGAAUGUUAAAGCCAGAAAGCACUGGAAGAAGCUCUAUGACACUGAUGUGGCCAAGGUCAACACCCUGAUUCGGCCUCAUGGAGAGAAGAAGGCAUAUGUUUGACUGGCUCCUGAUUACAAUGCUUUGGAUGUUGCCAACAAAAUAGAGAUCAUCUCAACUGAAUCCAGUUGGCUAAUUCUAAAUAUAUGUAUAUCUUUUCACCA